rnacentral:rRNA from 1 species
UACGUAGGGGGCUAGCGUUGUCCGGAAUCAUUGGGCGUAAAGAGCGUGUAGGCGGCCCGGUAAGUCCGCUGUAAAAGUCAAAGGCUCAACCUUUGAAUGUCAGUGGAUACUGCCGGGCUAGAGUCCGGAAGAGGCGAGUGGAACUCCUGGUGUAGCGGUGGAAUGCGCAGAUAUCAGGAAGAACACCAACGGCGAAGGCAGCUCGCUGGGACGGUACUGACGCUGAGGCGCGAAAGCUAGGGGAGCAAACAGG